rnacentral:rRNA from 1 species
UACGUAGGGACCAAGCGUUGUUCGGAUUUACUGGGCUUAAAGGGCGCGUAGGCGGGCCGCCAAGUCCGAGGUGAAAUCCUCCGGCUCAACCGGAGAACUGCCUCGGAUACUGGAGGUCUCGAGGGUGGUAGGGGCACGCGGAAUUCCAGGUGUAGCGGUGAAAUGCGUAGAUAUCUGGAGGAACACCGGUGGCGAAGGCGGCGUUCUGGACUGCAACUGACACUGAAAAACGAAAGCCAGGGGAGCAAACGGG